rnacentral:rRNA from 1 species
UGCGACGCGAAAAACCUUACCUGGGUUUGACAUGGCCGUAGUAGUGAAGCGAAAGCGGAACGACCCUUCGGGGAGCGGUCACAGGUGCUGCAUGGCUGUCGUCAGCUCGUGUCGUGAGAUGUUGGGUUAAGUCCCGCAACGAGCGCAACCCUCGUCGCUAGUUACACGUGUCUAGCGAUACUGCCGGUCUCAAACCGGAGGAAGGUGGGGAUGACGUCAAGUCAGCAUGGCCUUUAUAUCCAGGGCUACACACACGCUACAAUGGGCGGUACAAUGGGCAGCGAAAGGGCGACCUGGAGCGAAUCCCAUCAAAGCCGUUCGUAGUUCGGAUUGUAGGCUGCAACUCGCCUACAUGAAGCCGGAGUUGCUAGUAAACGCAGGUCAGCAGUACUGCGUUGAAUACGUUCCCGGGCCUUGUACACACCGCCCGUCACGUCAUGGGAGUUGGUAACACUUGAAGUCGGUGACCCAACCGCAAGGAGGGAGCUGCCUAGGGUGGGGCUGAUGACUGGGACGAAGUCGUAACAAGUAAC